AGUGAACGCUGGCGGCGUGCCUAAUACAUGCAAGUCGAACGAAGUGGCGCACGGGUGAGUAAUAUAUAGUUAAUCUGCCCUACACAGAGGAACAACAGUUGGAAACGACUGCUACUACCUCAUAGGGUAGGAUGGGACUAUAUCGUAUCAGCUAGUUGGUAAGGUAAUGGCUUACCAAGGCUAUGACGCGUGACUGGUCUGAGAGGAUGAUCAGUAACAUUGGAACGGAGGCACGGUCGGAACUCCUACGGGAGGCAGCAGUAAGGGAUAUUGCGCAAUGGGGGAAACCCAGACAGAGCAACGCCGCGUGGAGGAUGACAAUUUGCGGAGCGUAAACUACUUUUAUCAGGAAAGCGGUACCUGAUGAAUAAGCACCGGCUAACUCCGUGCCAGCCGCCGCGGUAAUAC
rnacentral:rRNA from 1 species